UGCGUAGGCGGAUAGAUUAGUCAGAGGUGAAAUCCUGCAGCUUAACUGUAGAAUUGCCUUUGAUACUGUUUAUCUUGAAUUAGGUUGAGGUCAGCGGAAUGUGGCAUGUAGCGGUGAAAUGCAUAGAUAUGCCAUAGAACACCAAUUGCGAAGGCAGCUGGCUAGGCUUUAAUUGACGCUGAGGCACGAAAGCGUGGGGAGCGAACAGGAUUAGAUACCCUGGUAGUC
rnacentral:rRNA from 1 species